UUAAUUCAAAUUAUUCCCCUUGAAUGACACAGUUUCGUUUGAGCAGUUCACAGGUAGCGCAACCUGUCUCGUAGUGUUCAUUUUCAAUGGCUAUUAAACGCUGUCAAAAUGACAUCGUGUACUGUUGAAUGUCUUCAAUCGAAGUAGGUUCGGAAAUGAUAUUCCACAUGCUUAAAAUAUGUUGGGAAGUUAUUUUUCAAGACCCAGAGGAAGUGUGAGGUGUAUUGAAUCAGCUAUGAAGGAUCUGGUAUUUGAAUAAAUUUAAUAUCAUUGCUAUCCACAAACUGAAUCAGUCUAAAUGUAAUCAACUUCCAAUUGAUUAUUUACUUUUUAUUGUUGUGUGUGUGCGUGUUUGUGUGCGUGUGUGGUCUGGAGGAUAUCAUUCUCGUCUAAUAUCAAUCUUUUAUGAUAUGACAAGAACCAUGCAUUAUCUAAAUGUUUCAAACCACCUACUAAUUAAUUGGAAAAAAAAAGAACUAUUUGGGUAUCUCUUGUAAGUUAUUAUGGUUUAUUUAUUAGUCUUCUGUUUCACAGGAAAGCAGGUGUUUUACCUCACAGACGAAGGCCAGUCACAUGGUAAAGGUGCAAAUGCUGUGGUCAGCCAGGUUCACCACUACCUCAACACAUAAUAUAUUGAAAUGAGUCAAACCAUUUUUAAGUCAGUCAAUUACUACAAAAUACAUAUUCUAAAUUGUAGCCUAACCUUUAAAAAAAAAUUAUUUUUUAACAUUUUAGGUUUACACAGAAUCAUCACACUAAGCUUUAUGUUGAUAAGACAUACAAAGUUUACACCAGAUUGGCACUUUGGCAUCUGGAAGUCAAAGUGGAGAAACUUCAAUGCAGAAAUGUUGUCUGAUGUCGCUGGUUAUCGUCAAGGACAGGCCACAACAUCCCCCAGCUUGUGGGGGACUCUUCCAAUCCUGUUGUUAUCUAAUACAGGAAGGAUUACCUUUUGACAUUGUUUCGCCACAUAAAGAAUGGCACCAAAUUUCAUCAAUUUUCAUGUGUCAGCGGAUCAUCCCAGUGUUGUGGAGUGCAGGGAGUUGAGUGACUCACCAGUAGUCAGAAUCAGUUUCAGGAAGGUCUCGAAAGUGAAUGUAAAUGUGAGCUGUGACAACCUGCCAUAAGAAAUGUUUGCGAAAGGGCUUGAUCUGGACCAUCAGCGGUAUUUAUUUGAAAACAUUCGUGAAUUCUGUCGCACAGAUGAACCAAAAACUUGACAUGUCCGAAACGCGCUACUGGUGAGCAACAAAAAACAGACUGUGCCCCCAAAAAAGAAGAUGCAUUAAGAUGCGCAGCUGAUCUUAUCUGAUCAUGCCACAACAAUCACAUACAUCAUGUAUCAGGUGAUAUAUUUUCCCCCAAACAAUGCAAAAAAAAUGUAACGAGUGCUAAAUGUGUCAGUUGAUACAGGUUUUGAAAUGUUCAAUACAAACGUUUGUUGUUCUAAUUUCACAAGCUUGUUUUCAAGUUUUUUAUAUCUCAUGUUUACAAAACAAAAAUCAUUUUUUUAUGUAACCAUGCAAUUGUUUUCACCAUAUGGACACAGACUGCCUUUCCGAAAAACUGGAAAAAAAUCAGUGUGAAUAUUGUGUUUAUUUAUGUUUUACAAUGAAAAUCCUAUAUUUUUGUUUGUUUGCUACAUUGUUUGCAUAGUAACAAAAACAAACAAUUUUUAUGUUUAAGUUAUUGUUUAUCUUGUCUAUUUUUCUCUAUCAGAAAUAAGAUAAAUAAUGAUUAUUUCAUUUACUGAAACAUUUAGUAUCCAAGUGUACUUUCAACCAACACUUUUCAAUGCUGUUUUUUUCCAUUCUGUUGUGUUUGAGGUUACAUUAUACUAAAAUACACAUGUAACUGAAUAAAAAAGGAAAUUGUUCAUGGAACACACAAAUUAUUGAUUGUUAUUGUUUAACUAGUUACAAAAUUGUGAAACUAAUUUGUGUUUGCCUUUAAACAAACACUUGAUUGAAAAUACAAUUCAUAGAUUUAUAAAAGGCGUGAUUGUGUGCUCUGGUGAUUAUUAACAUGUAGAUCGAUUACCAUAGCAACACAAAUGGUACAUUCCAUAAUGCUGUUGUCAGUUUUUUGCUUUAUAAUUAUGUAUUUGACUAAAGGAAAGAUUAUUGUUUUAAUAAAACAAUGUGCUUGUUGUUUGAAUGUUUUCGUUGUUCUUUUGUAUUAAAUGAUAACUUUUAGUGACGGUAAAAUGUAGGGUUGGUCACUUUGGAAGGUCAUAAAAUUAGUUUUGAAUGUGAUAAAUAAAAAAUCUAUAUCAUUUUUGUGAACUACAAUGUUUAGAGAAUCCAAAAUUGCCAAAAAGUCAAAAUGUGAUUCUUUGAACACAAGACUGAUUUUCCCAGCUUUGGUAACAUAUUUUAAUGAUCUUUUUGGAUGAGUUCGAAACUAGUUUCGGUCUGUUCAAACACGUGCCAGCCAGGGGGCGGGGAAAGUUAUCCUAAUAUGGCUUUAGUAAAACCUUGUUACCAUUCUAAAUGUUACAGUUAUAGUUCGCUUUUCAUGAAACUUGGUCAGAAAAUUUGUCCUAAUGAUAUCUUGGGCUGCACAGAACAAGUCAGUUCCUUUGUAUCUCAGGUGAGCGACUUUGGGUCUUUCAGGCCCCUUGUCUAUGUUACAAACUAUUGUUCAACGUGUUGCUGUCAAUUUGUUAACGUUUUUUCUUAUUAACUGUAAACUGAACAGAUACAGUUUGUCAACCAGUUCCGGAUAAUCAGCAGUUCCGAUUAAUUUGUCUUAAAUUUUCCACAAUGCCACAAUAAAAACAAAAAGAUAUAUACAUUAGGUAAAGCAAUAAAUUAACAAAGUUUUAGCAAGAAAGCUUUUGUAUUAUGCUAACAAGUGGGGUUUAAUGCGGCAAAAAGUUAAACGGAACUGAUUGAAUGAGUUAUGUUUUGAAAUGUGCAUAUGUAUAUAAAAGGCUUUAUUAUUUUCCAAUAAACUUUUUCCUGAUUCAAAAACAAAUGUCAUGACAAUGUUUUCAAAUAUUUAUUCUGUAAGUUGAAUGGUUUUUAAUAAAUUUUCCGAAGGGUGAACUUUAAUUGGCUAUUUUUACAUAAAAACUGCGUAUGCCGUCUGGCCUAACCUGUUAUCAUAGAAAAUAAAUUUAACCCUUUAUUAUACAUCUUCUCCCAUUGACAAUAAAUCCCAAAAGAAAUUAUUGUGGUCAAAAGAAUUAACGUUUCUUGCCGGGUUAUUCUAAACUGGUUGAUUGACUGUAAAUGUAAAACAAUGUGCUUCUGUAAACUUUGACAUUGCUUUUUGGCUCUAGUAACAUGCUCUACCGUU